rnacentral:rRNA from 1 species
UACGUAGGGAGCGAGCGUUGUCCGGAAUUACUGGGUGUAAAGGGAGCGUAGGCGGGAUUGCAAGUCAGGUGUGAAAUAUAUGGGCUUAACCCAUAGACUGCACUUGAAACUGUAGUUCUUGAGUGAAGUAGAGGCAGGCGGAAUUCCUAGUGUAGCGGUGAAAUGCGUAGAUAUUAGGAGGAACACCGGUGGCGAAGGCGGCCUGCUGGGCUUUUACUGACGCUGAGGCUCGAAAGCGUGGGGAGCAAAC